AACGAACGCUGGCGGCAGGCCUAACACAUGCAAGUCGAGCGCCCCGCAAGGGGAGCGGCGGACGGGUGAGUAACGCGUGGGAAUAUGCCCUUUGCUACGGAAUAGUCUCGGGAAACUGGGGGUAAUACCGUAUACGCCCUUUGGGGGAAAGAUUUAUCGGCGAAGGAUUAGCCCGCGUUGGAUUAGGUAGUUGGUGGGGUAAUGGCCUACCAAGCCGACGAUCCAUAGCUGGUUUGAGAGGAUGAUCAGCCACACUGGGGCUGAGACACGGCCCAGACUCCUACGGGAGGCAGCAGUGGGGAAUCUUAGACAAUGGGGGCAACCCUGAUCUAGCCAUGCCGCGUGAGUGAUGAAGGCCUUAGGGUUGUAAAGCUCUUUCAGCUGGGAAGAUAAUGACGGUACCAGCAGAAGAAGCCCCGGCUAACUCCGUG
rnacentral:rRNA from 1 species